UGAAUACGAGACGCUAAGGCGUCGAAGUAGUGUAUGUCAUACUUCCAAGAAAAGCUUGCACUGUCAUAGAUAAAAAACGCCUGUACCAUAACCGACACAGGUGGGUAGGUAGAGUAUACUAAGGGGCGCGAGAUAACUCUCUCUAAGGAACUCGGCAAAAUAACUCCGUAACUUCGGGAGAAGGAGUGCCUUAUUCGUAAGGUUGCAAUAACAAGAUCAAGCAACUGUUUAUCAAAAACACAGGUCUCCGCUAAGUCGUAAGACGAUGUAUGGGGGCUGACGCUUGCCCAGUGCCAGAAGGUUAAAGAAGUUGGUUAGCAAUUGCGAAGCUGAUAACUGAAGCCCUGGUGAACGGCGGCCGUAACAAUAACGGUCCUAAGGUAGCGAAAUUCCUUGUCGGGUAAGUUCCGACCCGCACGAAAGGCGUAAUGAUUUGGAUACUGUCUCGGAGAGGGGCUCGGUGAAAUAGACUUGUCUGUGAAGAUGCGGACUACCUGCACCAGGACAGAAAGACCCUAUGAAGCUUUACUGUAACUUGAAAUUGAAAUUGGACUUUAUUCGCGCAGCAUAGGUGGGAGGCGUUGAUUAUAAUCUUGCGGGAUUAUUGGAGCCAUCAGUGAGAUACCACUCUUGUAAUGUUAGAUUUCUAACUUUGAAUCAUUAUCUGGUCAAAGAACAGUUUCAGGCGGGCAGUUUGACUGGGGCGGUCGCCUCCUAAACGGUAACGGAGGCGUACAAAGGUUUCCUCUGAACGGUUAGAAAUCGUAUCUAGAGUGUAAAGGCAUAAGGAAGCUUGACUGUGAGACCUACAAGUCGAGCAGGGACGAAAGUCGGUCUUAGUGAUCUGACGGUACUGAGUGGAAAGGCCGUCACUCAACGAAUAAAGGUUACUCUAGGAUAACAGGCUGAUCUCCCCCAAGAGUUCACAUCGACGGGGAGGUUUGGCACCUCGAUGUCGGCUCAUCGCAUCCUGGGGCGGUAGUACGUCCCAAGGGUUGGGCUGUUCGCCCAUGAAAGCGGUACGCGAGCUGGGUUCAGAACGUCGUGAGACAGUUCGGUCCAUAUCCGGUGUAGGCGUUAGAAUAUUGAGAGGAGCCUUCUUUAGUACGAGAGGACCGAGAAGGACAUACCUCUGGUGUACCAGUUAUCGUGCCAACGGUAAACGCUGGGUAGCUAUGUAUGGAGUGGAUAACCGCUGAAAGCAUCUAAGUGGGAAGCCCACCUCAAGAUAAG
rnacentral:rRNA from 1 species